CGUAGCUCAGUUGGAUAGAGCAUCUGCCUUCUAAGCAGAGGGUCGCAGGUUCGAAUCCUGCCGG
rnacentral:tRNA from 1 species